rnacentral:rRNA from 1 species
GACGAACGCUGGCGGCGUGCUUAACACAUGCAAGUCGAACGGAGUGGCGAACGGGUGAGUAACACGUGGGUGACCUGCCCUGCACUUCGGGAUAAGCCUGGGAAAAUGGGUCUAAUACCGGAUAGUGGGGGAUGGGCCCGCGGACGAUCAGCUUGUUGGUGGGGUAAUGGCUUACAAAGGCGGCGACGGUUAGCCGGCCUGAGAGGGUGGACGGCCACAUGGGGAGUGAGACACGGGCCAGACUCCUACGGGAGGCAGCAGUGGGGAAUAGUGCGCGAUGGGCGGAGGCCUGAUGCAGCGACGCCGCGUGGGGGAGGACGGCCUUCGGGUUGUAAACUCCUUUCACCAUCGACGCGGUAGAUGGAGAAGAAGCACCGGCUAACUACGUGCCAGCAGCCGCGGUAAUAC